ACGAUUGAACCCCUUCUACAUGUCGAAGUUGUUUUAUGAACUUGCACAUGAUAGGUGAUUUGGCUUACAAUAGUUUGGCUAGUUUACCUUGUGGCAUCAUUCAAGCUGGUUCAGAUUUGGAGUUAAAACCUCUAUGGUCAACAAGUAGUUCGAGGGAAAAGGUUGAUGUUUCAAGCUCUCAUAACUUACUAGCAAUUCCAGUUGGUAUUACACAAAAGAGUAAUGUUGACGUUAUUAUUCGAAAGUUGCUUUCAAAGAGUUUUACAAUUAUAUUAUUCCAUUAUGAUGGCAAUAUGGAUGGAUGGUGGGAUCUUCCAUGGAGUAAGAAUGCUACACAUAUAGUUGCACAGAACCAAUCAAAAUGGAAGGUUUGUCACCCUUGAACUUUUACAUUGAGGAUGAAUUCCAUCGUGCCACUCGUGGUGGAGCUGGAGGAAUGUUUAUUGGGGCUUUUGGAUUCGAAAACAGUUUGGUACUCAUCAAGUGGAGUUCUUAUCAGUUUUUGAUUUGGGUUAUUUUUCCCUUUGAUUCAAGCAGACCCACUUGAUACUAAUUUUUCUCCUUCCACAUUUUUCUUAUACAAGACAAGUCUGGUUUUUUGUUUUGGUAAUAAUGAUUGGUUUAUAUCUGUGUAUUGGAUGUUUCUUCUUUACGGUUGAAAUAAUUGGUUUGCAUUGUCGGCUAUGGUGAUGACUUUGGCUCUUUCUAUUCUGUGUUUUGGGGCUUUCUUGAUUUCAUAAGCAAUUUUUAUACUCUUUUUGUUUGUUCAUCAAAUCUUUGCAGGUGUCAAUGAUUAUCAUAAGCAUACUUGAUGGCCAUCUUAUGAUUAAUGUACACAUAUGGGCAAUGUAAAAAAUUUAUAUUUUGCCUUUUUCCAUUAAGAAUUGUGAAUUUAAUUUUUGGAUAUGUUAUUUUGCGGGUAAUGUUAAAACCUCAUUUGUGAAUAUGUUAUU